CUUUCCAAUUUUUGUUGGGUCAUUCUAUUAGGGUGAUGAUUUUCCAUGAUAAAAGUGCGUGUCAUUAUCAAUUGUUCUGUAUGUGUAAGGGUGAAAGAGCAUUUGAAAGAAGAAUUGGAGGUGUGCAGCGUGUGAUCGUUUCGUGGUCUAUGUUUUCAUGACUCUAUGCCUGUCAGGAUUUCGGCUCGUACUAGUCUAGGAUUGCUUCAAAUUCUUGGAGAACAUCUAGAGGUUCUAAUGUUUUUAAAAGAGAGAAGACGUAUCAGUACCCUCGAUUUGUACAGGGGUUAUGUUGUCAGGAAGGGACGAGUGUCUGUAUUUGUAUCUGUUAUCAAGACAGUAAUUUUCGCUUAUGGUUUCUACAAUUGAUUC